AGAGGAGUGCUCGAAAGAGAACCUGCACACAGGUGCUGCAUGGCUGUCGUCAGCUCGUGUCGUGAGAUGUUGGGUUAAGUCCCGCAACGAGCGCAACCCUUGUCAUUAGUUGCUACGAAAGGGCACUCUAAUGAGACUGCCGGUGACAAACCGGAGGAAGGUGGGGAUGACGUCAAGUCCUCAUGGCCCUUAUAGGUGGGGCUACACACGUCAUACAAUGGCUGGUACAGAGGGUUGCCAACCCGCGAGGGGGAGCUAAUCCCAUAAAACCAGUCGUAGUCCGGAUCGCAGUCUGCAACUCGACUGCGUGAAGUCGGAAUCGCUAGUAAUCGCGGAUCAGAAUGUCGCGGUGAAUACGUUCCCGGGUCUUGUACACACCGCCCGUCACACCAUGGGAGCGGGUUCUGCCAGAAGUAGUUAGCCUAACCGCAAGGAGGGCGAUUACCACGGCAGGGUUCGUGACUGGGGUAAGUUGUACAAGGUACCA
rnacentral:rRNA from 1 species